UUGUGCUUUUGCCCUGUCUCUGCUGAGCACUAGUCCAGUAAUUGAGUUAGGGCACCUGCUUCCUUCAUGACUAGCAGUGGGAAAGAAGACAACUGAUUUCAGAUGAGGUCUCCACAAGCCUCCACGGUUUCACACCAGGAGGAGGAUCCUCGGAAGUCCGUGGCUGUGGAUCGCAUAGAAACAUGUAGUAGCACUGUUCGAAAUGCACCUGCUACUCAGGAGGCAAGGGACAGCCAGCUGCAGGAAAGGUCAUCUCCACUGCCCAGCGCAAGAACAGAAGUCACGGACACAGCCGCCAAUGCAGCAAUGGAACGGCCAAGCAUUGACCCCUCAGAGGAUGCAGCUACAGACCCUGUUGGAUCAAAAGUGCAGCAGUGCUGAGAUUAUAAAUGAAUGUGCUUAGUUACAAGAUGAAAUAGGCAGGUUGAAGAGAACAGUCAGGCUAUGCUAAGUCACAAGGAGGAGCAACCAGAAGAUACGACGGUCAUAAAGCAUUCCCUAUUCUUGCAAGUAUCAGCCUAUUCUUUCUCUAGAUUAAUUAACAAUAGUGUUUUCAAUCUGCAGCUGGUCUGACAGCUUGUCAUUAAAACAAAAUGUAAAUGAACACAAACCUACAGGUGUCAGGUCUCCUACACUGUCACAGGGUCCCUGCUGCUCAAACCAUUGCAACAAUAGAAGACGUUUCUAACCUAGAUAAAUGGUUUAUCUGGUUUCAAAUCUAUGAGCUCAAAUUGCACUCUAACAGCCUUCUAUUUUACAUACUUCAGAAGAGGGGUGCCACUCUGUUUAUAGUUCUUAUAGAAUGAUUGUAUAUUAGGAUCUUGCACUAUACUAACUAGAACAGUCUUUUCCCAACCUCGUGUCCCCUCCCAGAUGAUUUGAAUUCAUAUUAGUCCCAGCCUACAUACCUGCAUACCUCUAGUGAUGAGCUAGACCCUCCCUCCCCCCCAAUUUGAAUUGUAGGCUGUAUUUGGCAGACUCCAAGUUGGGAGAGUUUAAAAGCAAUCCAAACCAGUUUCAACCAAUCCUGCCUUUGGCUUCAAAAGUAUGCACUUUGCAGGGAAGCCCAACAAGGCUGCCUCCAAGACCUAGUAAUGUUGCUUCGUUAAAUAAAAUGCACAGUGCUAUUGUUGCUUUCUCA
rnacentral:lncRNA from 1 species